rnacentral:rRNA from 1 species
ACCGGCGGAUGGGUGAGUAACGCGUAGGUAAUCUGCCUACAGGACAGGGAUAACCCACCGAAAGGUGAGCUAAUACCUGAUGAUGCAGCGGGGCCGCAUGGCCACAGUUGUUAAAUCCUUCGGGAGCCUGUAGAUGAACCUGCGUGCCAUUAGCUAGUUGGUAGGGUCAAAGCCUACCAAGGCAAUGAUGGCUAGGGGGUCUGAGAGGAUGAUCCCCCACACUGGGACUGAGACACGGCCCAGACUCCUACGGGAGGCAGCAGUGAGGAAUCUUGCGCAAUGGGGGCAACCCUGACGCAGCCACGCCGCGUGCUGGAAGACGGCCCUAUGGGUUGUAAACAGCUUUUACUAGGGAAGAA